rnacentral:misc_RNA from 1 species
GAUGAAGAACGCAGCGAAAUGCGAUAAGUAGUGUGAAUUGCAGAAUUCCGUGAAUCAUCGAAUCUUUGAACGCACAUUGCGCCCCUUGGUAUUCCAUGGGGCAUGCCUGUUCGAGCGUCAUUUGUACCUUCAAGCUCUGCUUGGUGUUGGGUGUUUGUCUCGCCUCUGCGUGUAGACUCGCCUUAAAACAAUUGGCAGCCGGCGUAUUGAUUUCGGAGCGCAGUACAUCUCGCGCUUUGCACUCAUAACGACGACGUCCAAAAGUACAUUUUUACACUCUUGACCUCGGAUCAGGUAGGGAUACCCGCUGAACUUAAGCAUAUCAAUAAGCGGAGGA